rnacentral:rRNA from 1 species
AGAACGAACGCUGGCGGCAUGCCUAACACAUGCAAGUCGAACGCUCACCGGGCUUCGGUUCGGUGGGAGUGGCGCACGGGUGAGUAGCGCGUGGGAACCUGCCCUGUUGUGGGGGGUAACCGAGGGAAACUUCGGCUAAUACCGCAUGCGCCCGGGGAAACCCGGGGAAAGAUUUAUCGCAGCAGGAGGGGCCCGCGUCGGAUUAGGUAGUUGGUAGGGUAACGGCCUACCAAGCCUUUGAUCCGUAGCUGGUCUGAGAGGAUGAUCAGCCACACUGGGACUGAGACACGGCCCAGACUCCUACGGGAGGCAGCAGUGGGGAAUAUUGGACAAUGGGCGCAAGCCUGAUCCAGCAAUGCCGCGUGAGUGAUGAAGGCCUUAGGGUUGUAAAGCUCUUUCGCCCGCGACGAUGAUGACGGUACCGCAAGAAUAAGCCCCGGCUAACUUCGUGCCAGCAGCCGC